CCUACGGGGGGCAGCAGUGGGGAAUAUUGCACAAUGGGGGAAACCCUGAUGCAGCGACGCCGCGUGAGUGAAGAAGCGUUUCGGCGCGUAAAGCUCUGUCAGCGGGGAAGAAACACGGUUCGCGAGAGCCGCGGACGGUACCCGACCAAGAAGCCCCGGCUAACUACGUGCCAGCAGCCGCGGUAAUACGUAGGGGGCAAGCGUUAUCCGGAUUUACUGGGUGUAAAGGGAGCGUAGACGGCAGUGCAAGUCUGGAGUGAAAGGCGGGGGCUCAACCCCCGGACUGCUCUGGAAACUGUACGGCU
rnacentral:rRNA from 1 species